rnacentral:rRNA from 1 species
CGGCGACGCCGAGCGGAACCCGAAAACCUGUCUCAGUUCGGAUCGGAGUCUGCAACCCGACUCCGUGAAGCUGGAUUCGCUAGUAAUCGCGCAUCAGCCAUGGCGCGGUGAAUACGUUCCCGGGCCUUGUACACACCGCCCGUCAAGCCAUGGAAGCCGGGGGUGCCUGAAGUGUGCAGCCGCAGGGAGCGCCCUAAGGUAAAACCGGUGACUGGGGCUAAGUCGUAACAAGGUAUC